UGGGGAAUAUUGGACAAUGGGCGAAAGCCUGAUCCAGCCAUGCCGCGUGUGUGAAGAAGGUCUUCGGAUUGUAAAGCACUUUAAGUUGGGAGGAAGGGCAGUAAGCGAAUACCUUGCUGUUUUGACGUUACCGACAGAAUAAGCACCGGCUAACUCUGUGCCAGCAGCCGCGGUAAUACAGAGGGUGCAAGCGUUAAUCGGAAUUACUGGGCGUAAAGCGCGCGUAGGUGGUUCGUUAAGUUGAAUGUGAAAGCCCCGGGCUCAACCUGGGAACUGCAUCCAAAACUGGCGAGCUAGAGUAGGGCAGAGGGUGGUGGAAUUUCCUGUGUAGCGGUGAAAUGCGUAGAUAUAGGAAGGAACACCAGUGGCGAAGGCGACCACCUGGGCUCAUACUGACACUGAGGUGCGAAAGCGUGGGGAGAAAACAGG
rnacentral:rRNA from 1 species